rnacentral:rRNA from 1 species
GACGAACGCUGGCGGCGUGCUUAAUACAUGCAAGUCGAGCGAGGUUACUGUUUUGGAUCCCUUCGGGGUGAAGAAGCUUUAACCUAGCGGCGGACGGGUGAGUAACGCGUGGGUAACCUACCCCAAAGUCCGGGAUAACAGCGGGAAACCGCUGCUAAUACCGGAUGCCUUUACCUUGGGGCAUCUUGAGGUAAAGAAAGGUAACGCUUUGGGAUGGGCCCGCGUCCCAUUAGCUAGUUGGUGAGGUAACGGCUCACCAAGGCGACGAUGGGUAGCCGGCCUGAGAGGGUGGACGGCCACACUGGGACUGAGACACGGCCCAGACUCCUACGGGAGGCAGCAGUAGGGAAUAUUGCGCAAUGGACGGAAGUCUGACGCAGCGACGCCGCGUGAGCGAUGAAGGUCUUCGGAUCGUAAAGCUCUGUCCUUGGGGAAGAAGGCGAAAGCUUGACGGUACCCAAGAAGAAAGCCCCGGCUAACUACGUGCCAGCAGCCGCGGUAAUACGUAGGGGGCGAGCGUUGUCCGGAAUUACUGGGCGUAAAGGGUGCGUAGGCGGCCCUUUAAGUCGGAUGUGAAAGCCCGCGGCUUAACCGCGGAAUGGCAUUCGAAACUGGAGGGCGUGAGUGUCGGAGAGGGUAGUGGAAUUCCCAGUGUAGCGGUGAAAUGCGUAGAUAUUGGGAGGAACACCAGUGGCGAAGGCGACUACCUGGACGAUAACUGACGCUGAGGCACGAAAGCUAGGGAAGCAAA